GAUGAACGCUAGCGGGAGGCCUAACACAUGCAAGCCGAGCGGUAGAGUCUCUUCGGAGACUUGAGAGCGGCGCACGGGUGCGGAACACGUGUGCAACCUGCCUUUAUCUGGGGGAUAGCCUUUCGAAGGGAAGAUUAAUACCCCAUAAUAUACUGGAUGGCAUCAUCUGGUAUUGAAAACUCCGGUGGAUAGAGAUGGGCACGCGCAAGAUUAGAUAGUUGGUGAGGUAACGGCUCACCAAGUCAGCGAUCUUUAGGGGGCCUGAGAGGGUGAUCCCCCACACUGGGACUGGGACACGGACCAGACUCCUACGGGAGGCAGCAGUGAGGAAUAUUGGACAAUGGGUGAGAGCCUGAUCCAGCCAUCCCGCGUGAAGGACGACGGCCCUAUGGGUUGUAAACUUCUUUUGUAUAGGGAUAAACCUAGAUACGUGUAUCUAGCUGAAGGUACUAUACGAAUAAGCACCGGCUAACUCCGUG
rnacentral:rRNA from 1 species